UAUGACCGAGUUUUCAAAUCAGUGGAAUUCGAGGAUGAUAGCUAAGGAAAUGGAGAAAACAGCAAUCUGGAUUAAAUUGUCAAACUAAGGCAACCAUGCAUGGCAUCAGACAGGAGACGCGUCCAACCACGAUGUAUACUGAUUUCACAUCCUCAAGAGGUCAUAACACCAGAGACGGUCCAGGAUUUGCCUCCUCUCUCAAGCAUCUUGUUGAACGUUCUCCUCAAAUCGCCCCCGGUCACAAGAGAAGGUUCGUUUCUGUGGCUAAGGAGGAAGGACAAGAAUGAAGAACUAAAGGCCAGCUGCAGGGGAUGACAGGCAGACGUCCCUGCCACUGCUCCGCCACCAGGAGACGUACCGGGAUAAGGAGAGGAACAUUGAGGAGUGGUGGUCCCCGGGUGAUGACCCUCCAGCUGGUUUACAGGCACUGCUGGAGGUGCAACAGGCAGAGAUGCCCAGCAGAAUGUUACCACCUAUCUACCUGUAUAAAGUAUGUAUAUCAUAUUGUAGUGAAUUUGGGGGGUAUCCCCUACUGGGACUCGAACCCAUCAACUGUCAAGCCAACACCUUAACCGUUAUGCCAAGAGGUCCGAACUGCUUGAUGAAGUCGCAAGGUGUUGUGUUAGGGUCAGUUUGUUAUAUCUGGAGUACUUCUCCUGUCAUAAUCGCUGUCCUGUGUGAAUUUAAGUAUGGUCUCUCUAAUUCUCU